ACGGGAGGCAGCAGUGGGGAAUAUUGGACAAUGGGGGAAACCCUGAUCCAGCGACGCCGCGUGAGUGAAGAAGUAUUUCGGUAUGUAAAGCUCUAUCAGCAGGGAAGAUAAUGACGGUACCUGACUAAGAAGCCCCGGCUAACUACGUGCCAGCAGCCGCGGUAAUACGUAGGGGGCAAGCGUUAUCCGGAUUUACUGGGUGUAAAGGGAGCGUAGGCGGAAGGCUAAGUCUGAUGUGAAAACCCAGGGCUCAACCUUGGGACUGCAUUGGAAACUGGUUUUCUAGAGUGUCGGAGGGGUAAGUGGAAUUCCUAGUGUAGCGGUGAAAUGCGUAGAUAUUAGGAGGAACACCAGUGGCGAAGGCGGCUUACUGGACGACAACUGACGCUGAGGCUCGAAAGCGUGGGGAGCAAACAGGAUUAGAUACCCUGGUA
rnacentral:rRNA from 1 species